GACGAACGCUGGCGGCGUGCCUAAUACAUGCAAGUCGAGCGGAUGGAAGGAAGCUUGCUUCCUAAAGUCAGCGGCGGACGGGUGAGUAACACGUGGGCAACCUGCCCCUAAGAUCGGGAUAACUUCGGGAAACCGGAGCUAAUACCGGAUAUGAUUAUGUCUCACAUGAGACAUAAUGGAAAGACGGUUUCGGCUGUCACUUAGGGAUGGGCCCGCGGCGCAUUAGCUAGUUGGUGAGGUAACGGCUCACCAAGGCGACGAUGCGUAGCCGACCUGAGAGGGUGAUCGGCCACACUGGGACUGAGACACGGCCCAGACUCCUACGGGAGGCAGCAGUAGGGAAUCUUCCGCAAUGGACGAAAGUCUGACGGAGCAACGCCGCGUGAGUGAAGAAGGUUUUCGGAUCGUAAAACUCUGUUGUUAGGGAAGAACAAGUACCAUAGUAACUGAUGGUACCUUGACGGUACCUAACCAGAAAGCCACGGCUAACUACGUG
rnacentral:rRNA from 1 species